rnacentral:rRNA from 1 species
UUAGAGGAAGUAAAAGUCGUAACAAGGUUUCCGUAGGUGAACCUGCGGAAGGAUCAUUAAAGAGUAAGGGUCUCUGGCCCGAACCUCCAACCCUCUGUUGUUAAAACUACCUUGUUGCUUUGGCGGGACCGCUUGGUCCUCCGAGCGCGUCGGUCUUCGGAUUGACGAGCGCCCGCCAGAGUCCAACCAAACUCUUGUAUUAAACCAGUCGUCUGAGUAUAAAAUUUUAAUUUAAUUAAAACUUUCAACAACGGAUCUCUUGGUUCUCGCAUCGAUGAAGAACGCAGCGAAAUGCGAUAAGUAAUGUGAAUUGCAGAAUUCAGUGAAUCAUCGAAUCUUUGAACGCACAUUGCGCCCCUUGGUAUUCCGAGGGGCAUGCCUGUUCGAGCGUCAUUACACCACUCAAGCAUUGCUUGGUAUUGGGCACUCGUCCGCCGCAAGGCGGGCGUGCCUCGAAGACCUCGGCGUGGCCUAACCGGCUUCGGGCGUAGUAGAGUUAAAUCGAACGUCUUAUAAGUCUGGAUAGGUUCCACUUUGCCGUAAAACCUUUUAUAUUUUCUAGGUUGACCUCGGAUCAGGUAGGGAUACCCGCUGAACUUAAGCAUAUCAUA